CAGGCCUAACACAUGCAAGUCGAACGGCAGCAUGGUCUAGCUUGCUAGACUGAUGGCGAGUGGCGCACGGGUGAGUAACGCGUAGGAAUAUAGCUCAAAGAGGGGGACAACCUGAGGAAACUCAGGCUAAUACCGCAUAAGCUCUGAGGAGUAAAGCUGGGGACCUUAUGGCCUGGCGCUUUGAGAUUAGCCUGCGUCCGAUUAGCUAGUUGGUAGGGUAAAGGCCUACCAAGGCGACGAUCGGUAGCUGGUCUGAGAGGAUGGUCAGCCACACUGGGACUGAGACACGGCCCAGACUCCUACGGGAGGCAGCAGUGGGGAAUAUUGGACAAUGGGGGCAACCCUGAUCCAGCAAUGCCGCGUGUGUGAAGAAGGCCUAUGGGUUGUAAAGCACUUUCAGUGGGGAGGAGGAUGUUCUGGUUAAGAGCUGGAGUAUUGGACGUUACCCACAGAAGAAGCACCGGCUAACUCCGUGCCAGCAGCCGCGGUAAUACGGAGGGUGCGAGCGUUAAUCGGAAUUACUGGGCGUAAAGGGUGCGUAGGUGGUUUGAUAAGUUGGCUGUGAAAUACCGGGGCUUAACCUUGGGGCGUCAGCCAAGACUGUCAGGCUUGAGUAUAGGAGAGGGCAGUGGAAUUUCCGGUGUAGCGG
rnacentral:rRNA from 1 species